rnacentral:SRP_RNA from 15 species
GGGGUAUGCAGCUGUAACCGUAAGGGGAAAGCAAAGUAAUUUGCGCAGCCUUUAAGGGAUGUUACUCAUGCCACGAGAAAUUCAAUAUAUAAGAGCUCUCGUCUAUUGCAAGAUAUAAGUUACUGAGCAUGUUAUGUUGGAAAGAUAACAUGCUGUAGUAAUAAUGAAUUGCGGAACGCCUUAGGCUGGAAACAGAGCAGGGUUAGCAAUCGCUUGUAUACGGUGCAAAGUUUGCGAUGAGCGAUUAGUAUAUCUCGAAUCUCGUCAAGCAUGGUAAGC